CAAAAACAUGACUCUGAUCGGCGUCCUCAUCUGGACUCUCCUCUGCUGCUGCUUCACAGAGUCCAGAGGCCAGAUCACAGUGACUCAGCCUGGAGCAGUGAGGUCUGCUCUGGGAGAGUCCGUCACCAUCAACUGUAAGACCAGUCAAAGGGUUUAUGGUGGGAACUAUUUACACUGGUACCAACAGAAAGAUGGAGAAACUCCUAAACUGCUCAUUUACGUUGCCAACAGCCGAGCAUCAGGGAUUCCAGGUCGUUUUACAGGCAGUGGAUCAAACACUGACUUCACUCUGACCAUCAGUAGAGUCCAGACUGAAGAUGCAGCAGUUUACUACUGUCAGAGUGAUCAUGUUAUCAACAGUCAAACUGUGUUCACACAGUGA